rnacentral:lncRNA from 1 species
UGAACUUUAGUAAACUAAAGUUUACUAACAAAACCAAAUUUUCAUUCUAUUGAUUUUAAAAACCAUACAACAACCAUAUUACACUUACAUGAAUCAAAAUAAAUUGAUUACAAAGAGAGUUCAUUGAAAAUUACAUAAUAAAUUACUAAACUCCCUUAAAUUGGUGUUUAGCACCCAAAAUUCUACAUACUCAAAUACUUUAACAAAAUUCAAAUUUAUAUAAGAAUUUUAUACCUUAUACUUUCCAACUUCAAGUAAUCCAAGCUUUGAUCUUCUUUACUUAUUGAAAUCUUGUUUCUACUUUGCCCAAGCUAUCUCUAACUCACCAUUUCUUCACUUAAUCUUACUUGGAAAAUUUUCAAAAUUCACCCAAAUUGGAGAAGCGAGGCCACGGUUUUGGAAGGGAAGGAGGAGAAGACUUUUAGCAAUUUCCCAAGUCAAAUAUUCUUGGUGCCUAAGUUUUCUUUGUGAGUAAACUUCACAAUUCCUCCUCCUCUCUCUUUUCACGGCAAAGAAAAAUUGGAAUGGCUUGGAGAGGUUGGUUAGCUUGUAACAGUAAAUUAGUUAAUAAGGAAUAACCCAAAUUAACUUAAUUUAUUAAAUCACCCAAAUAAC